rnacentral:rRNA from 1 species
GGAAUUAGGGUUCGGUUCCGGAGAGGGAGCCUGAGAGAGGCUACUACAUCCAAGGAAGGCAGCAGGCGCGCAAAUUACCCAAUCCCGACUCGGGGAGGUAGUGACAAUAAAUAACAAUGCUGGGCUAUCGUAGUCCGGCAAUUGGAAUGAGAACAAUUUAAAUCCCUUAACGAGGAACAAUUGGAGGGCAAGUCUGGUGCCAGCAGCCGCGGUAAUUCCAGCUCCAAUAGCGUAUAUUAAAGUUGUUGCAGUUAAAAAGCUCGUAGUUGGAUUUCGGGGCGGCCCGACUGGUCCGCCGCGAGGUGAGCACUGGUCGGCCGCUCUUCCUCUCGGAAGCCCCGACUGCUCUUCGUUGCAGUGGUCGGGGAGUUCGGGACGUUUACUUUGAAAAAAUUAGAGUGUUCAAGGCAGGCCGUCGCCUGAAUACAUUAGCAUGGAAUAAUGGAAGAGGACCUCGGUCCCGUUUUGUUGGUUUCUUGGACCGAAGUAAUGAUUAAGAGGGACAGUUGGGGGCAUUCGUAUUUAAUUGUCAGAGGUGAAAUUCUCGGAUUUAUGAAAGACGAACGACUGCGAAAGCAUUUGCCAAGGAUGUUUUCAUUAAUCAAGAACGAAAGUUAGGGGUUCGAAGACGAUCAGAUACCGUCGUAGUCCUAACCAUAAACUAUGCCGACUAGGGAUCGGUGGAUGUUAGCG